ANAGAGUUUGAUCAUGGCUCAGGANNNNNCGCUGGCGGCGUGCCUAACACAUGCAAGUCGAACGCUCGCAAGAGAGUGGCGCACGGGUGAGUAACACGUAGCUGACCUGCCUUCAAGUGCCGGAUAACGUUCCGAAAGGGACGCUAAUACGGCGUAAGCUCCCGGUCUUUAGAGGGCUGAGAGAAAAGAUUAAUCGCUUGAAGAGGGGGCUGCGACCCAUCAGGUAGUUGGUAGGGUAACGGCUUACCAAGCCAACGACGGGUAGGGGGUCUGAGAGGAUGAUCCCCCACACUGGGACUGAGACACGGCCCAGACUCCUACGGGAGGCAGCAGUGAGGGAUAUUGGUCAAUGGGGGCAACCCUGAACCAGCGACGCCGCGUGGGUGAUGAAGGUCUUCGGAUCGUAAAACCCUUUUCUAGGUGACGAGACAAGGACGGUAGCCUAGGAAUAAGUCUCGGCUAACUACGUGCCAGCAGCCGCGGUAAAACGUAGGAGGCAAGCGUUAUCCGGAGUUACUGGGCGUAAAGCGUAUGUAGGCGGUUGGGCAAGUGGCGUGUGAAAGCUCCCGGCUAAACUGGGAGACGACAGGUCAGACUGCCGAACUCGAGUCCGAUAGAGGGGCGUAGAAUUCCGGGUGUAGCGGUGAAAUGUGUAGAGAUCCGGAGGAAUACCAGUGGCGCAAGCGGCGCCCUGGGUCGGUACUGACGCUGAGAUACGAAAGCGUGGGGAGCGAACGGGAUUAGAGACCCCGGUAGUCCACGCCGUAAACGAUGCGAACU
rnacentral:rRNA from 1 species